rnacentral:misc_RNA from 1 species
AAGUCGUAACAAGGUCUCCGUAGGUGAACCUGCGGAAGGAUCAUUACCGAGUUCAUGCCCUUCGGGGUAGAUCUCCCACCCUUUGUAUACUAUACCUUUGUUGCUUUGGCGGGCCGCCUAGCUACUGGCUUCGGCUGGUAAGUGCCCGCCAGAGAACCCAAAACCCUGAAUUAUUAGUGUCGUCUGAGUAAAAUAUUUAAUAUUUAAAACUUUCAACAACGGAUCUCUUGGCUCUG